UUUCCGUAGGUGAACCAGCGGAGGGAUCAUUACUGAGUUUACAACUCCCAAACCCUUUGUGAACAUACCUUUUUGUUGCUUCGGCGGGCCUCUGAGAUUCGUCUCACGUCCGCCGGCGGCCCAUUAAACUCUGUUACUUUCAAGCAAUCUGAGUCUUUUAUAAAAUAAAGUCAAAACUUUCAACAACGGAUCUCUUGGUUCUGGCAUCGAUGAAGAACGCAGC
rnacentral:misc_RNA from 1 species